AAUAAUCACUAGGGGAGCAUUAAUGCUGAGAGGAGGCAAUUUAGCUUCGACCCUUAAACCUGAUCUAGUUAAUACUAGCGUAGGGAAGUGUUUAUUUUAUAUU
rnacentral:ncRNA from 2 species